CACCCAGGUCACACUGAAUAAGAGACCUGCUCUGCUCCUCCAAAUAGAAGCAGACCCUUGCUAGGGGCAGGGCAGGGAUGUGGGGGAGGGGAAUUGGCUGCCUCGGAGAGCCUUGUCUUUAAGGAAGGCCGCAUCCGGAGCCAGGCGGAGGCAAGUGUGCCUAAGUCUGCACAGCACAGUUCGGCACAAGGAAGAAAGGUCCUGUGUCUUACCAUAUGCCUGGAUAUCGGACUGGACACUCAUCUGAGCCUGGAACUUGUGUCUGCUUAAAACACAGAAUGGCAUUUAAUGAUUGCUUUAGUUUGAGCUAUCCUGGCAAUCCUCAGCCAGGGGAUUUGAUUGAAGUGUUUCGUCCUUGUUAUCAACAUUGGGCACUGUACUUGGGUGAUGGGUAUGUUAUCAACAUAGCACCUCUAGAGGAUGGCAUUUCCACAUCGUUUACAAGUGCCAAGUCUGUAUUCAGCAGAAAGGCCCUGGUGAAGAUGCAGCUUUUGAAGGAUGUUGUUGGAAAAGACACAUACAGAAUAAACAAUAAAUAUGAUGAUACAUAUCCCCCUCUCCCUGUUGAAGAAGUUAUCCAACGGUCAGAGUUUGUUAUUGGGCAAGAGGUGGAAUAUGACAUACUUGUUAACAACUGUGAGCAUUUUGUGACUUUGCUUCGAUACGGAGAAGGAGUUUCAGAGCAGAUCCUUCAAGAGGCCCAAGACCCAGAAAGGACUCACUGAAGCACAGAUGAAACUGAAGAGAUGUAUUUAUGUGAUGGAUAAAUCCUCCCUGCAGCCUCCUCCUCUGUACACUGCCUUCUUCCAUGUGCUGGAGUGAUUGCCCAAAUGGAGCUGAAUUACAUGACUCUUCCCUCAUUCAUAAAAGUGAUUGACCUAGAGUGGGCAACUCACCCAAGUGAAGGCGGAUUCUUUACCAUCUGAGCCACCAAGGAAGACCAAGGACAAAGAAAGGUAAGUGCCAAUUUAAUGUCAAGAGAGACGACUGCCAUGUUGCUAUCGUACCUACUAAGAGGGAUUUGUAAUGGUCCUUCAGGGCAAACAGGCCAUCCUCCAUCCCCCAGGUACCUACGUAAAGACUAUACAAGAGAAAACCAUGGAGAUGAUGAAGAGAUUCCUUAUAGGAAUUGUUAGGAGCAGUAAGAACUGUGAUUUUAGUCUCAGCAUCACGGCACAAAUGAAAGCAAACCAUAAGAACCUCUGUAGGAAAAGUCCUGAAGUGGCGAGGGUGGAGAUUAGCGCUCAUUGUCCUGCUUGUAAUAUCAAAGGGAAGAGAGAGGGGGCAGCAGUGAGACCGUGUGCCACAUCUGUCUAGUAGGCCAAGCAGAAGCUCUGUAAAUUAGCCAGGCUAGAGCAGUCUCAAGGAAUUUGCCCAAUGGGGCAGUCAGCUGAAGUUAGAGAGACCAGCAGAAGAAGAAAGCUGUGUGAUAUGCACCACCAGAGGGCAGUUAAUGAAAGGAAUCCUGAGGGGUCAGAGGAGAGAGCACCACCUAUGUAAGGGAGUGGUCUGGUUCAGACAAUCCACAGGGAAUCUCUAAAGAACUCAGGCACUCAGUAGUGAGCCCCAUGCAAAGGGCCUGAGUUUAGAUGCUUACCUUGUUAGAAUACACUCGACGGGUGAUAAGUACAAUAUCCCCAUUUAAGUAAAAAGUCCUGGGCUCUUGCUACUUGCAUUCACCAAAGCAGGGUUGAAAGUAGCUGACACAGGAAAACAGAGUUCAUGGCCUUCUCUAACACCACCUAUUCCAAGCCAUGGGUCAGGCUUCACUUGGGGAAGAAAACUUCGAAUUGGAUGAUAAUAUGAAAUGUUGAUUUAUAAUACCUGGACUUUUCACAUCUAAAGAUGAGACCAUUUCAAUACCUGGAAAUGACCGGGAAAUGAUCUGCCUAUAGUAUGACUGAACUCACAGGGAUGGGAAAGUGAUAGUGUUCAAAGGCAGAAAGUAAAAAGAGACCAAAAAAUAAAAGGUAUUUCCACUCUGUGUUUCUCACCUUCAUCAGUCUCGCUGAUUUAGUAAGCCAGCUACACAUUUGUUGCAUACUAAUUGAAUGAAGUGCUCUCCUUUGAAAAGAACACUAUGAUCUAUCACCCUUCUUUUUACUCCCACGGGUAACAGUGGUCCUGCUCUGAGUCAUCCCAACUCUCCCACUCAGC